UAUAUAUAAGACCCGCUCCUGUUUUGAGAUUCGAAUUACUUCAAGCAAAAUGUGGCGUAUCAAAAUGAAACCAUACAAAAGAUUUGAAGUUAUAUUUUCAAGAACACAAUUCCGAAAACCGCAUCCAAUUUGAUGCAGUACUUUUUGCGUGAUGCCGGAACAAACAUACAGACGGACGAACAGAUAAAAAUUUCUAAAAAUUAUUGUUAAAGCAAUUUCAGCCGAGAAGAACGAACAUGAAACUUAACUGUUGCUAUUUCAAG